ensembl:lncRNA
GAGUGAGUGAGUGAGUGAGUGUGAGAGUGUGAGAGAGAGAGGGAGAUACAGCGAUACACACAGCGAAAUCAUAUGAAAGGUGCUAAGGCCGGAAGUGUUCGGAAAGAGGAAGUUGAGAGUUGUGAGUCAGAGACAAGAAAUUGGUGUGAAGACAGAGAUACACUCAGAGAAACAAGGCAUGAACAAAUUAGAGUAAGUAUGGUGAAGUGGAAAAAAGGACAGAGGUAAAAAACAAACAACGGAUGAAACUGAACUGGAAAACACAACAAAAAGGCAACAAGUGAAGAGGAAAGGAGAAGGCUGAACGUUGCGACAGAUGACAGAGUCGGAUAUGAGAAAACGCCGUGUCGGCACUCUUCUGGUCCUCAUGCUGAUACAGACAGGCAUGACAGACAGUGGGAUUUCUGUAUCUCACAAAUGGCAUGGAGAUUACCUAUCUAUCACCUGUCGUCUCAUGGGGGACAAAGACACUGUUUCUCAGAUCAACUGGGAGAUGACCAGCAGUUCGAACCACACCACCACCAGAUUGAAACUGGGCAUCUUCCACCCCGUGUUUGGUACCUACGUGUUCCCGAAGUACAACGAUACUGUGGAGAUCCAGGGUAACGCCUCCAGCGGCCAUUACACGCUCAGGCUGAAAGGUAGCACUGUGUUGGAGGAGAAUCAGUUCUGCUGUAAAUUCAUGACCUUUCCCUCUGGAGGACUGGAGCAGUGUACAAAUACCAGGAUUAAUGAAAGCACAGAGGAGGCCAAGGUGUCAGAAGGCCCACAGGGUUUACUAGAGGAGAGACAAGUGGAGCAGUGGGCUCUGCUAGUAAUGGGACCUACCAUCUGUCUCCUCAGUAUCGCAAUCUCUCUCUACUACUGCUUGAAGUAUUGCUGCAGACACUGCUGCCGCAGGAGGCGAUUGUUCGAGGUGGAGACUUAUCUGACAGACCAGCACACAGACUCGGAGGAGGUCACAGAGGAGCCACCCCAUCAACCCCCCCUUCCCUCACCUCCUCCCCUCCAGCUCCAGGGUUUUGACCCCUCUAAGCUGUACACUAAGAUCAAGCAGGAUCUGCUGUAUGGACGACUGUGGAAGGCCUACCAGGGGACAGCUAAGGCCUGGGACCCCACAACACAGCAGGGACCACACCAGCAAGGGCCACAACAAGGGGCAGAACUAGGGCCACAAAAGGUAUAUCUUUCUUUCAAAAGUUUUUUAAAAUGAAUAAUGACUAUGCAUAAGGAAACAUUGCCUUACAAAACAGUCAAUUGAAAACAAAGAAAUUGAAAAACAUUAUGUAAUGUUUGUUGAAGCCUGUGCCUCAUGCCAAAUAACACAGAAAUCACACACAUACUGUAGAGUAUUUGAUAAGGUCAUCAUCGUCAUCAGGUCUAUUUUCUUCUGGGGGAUCAUCGGGUGUCACAGAGAGAGGAACCAGAAGAACCAGAACUAGAACCUAAUCUAGAACAAGAACAAGACCCUCAACCAACCCUUGAAGGAACCGUGGAACCACAGACUGAGCCUGAACCUAUCCAUCCAUUAGCCCUGGAACCUGGAACACAGAUGGAGGUUCAAGAACCAGAAUGUAAUUUAGAACUAGAACCCAACUUCCCAUCAACCCUUUCUGCACGGAGGGGGGAACUGGAAUCAGACAUAGGAACAGAGAAAGAGGAAAUUGAAGAAACCAGAGACUAACCCUUCAGCGAGGAGGUUCAUGAAGGGAAGGUGUGUUGUGUUGUUGUGUGUGUGUGCGGGCCGUGCGUGUGUGCGUGUGUACGUGUGUGUUGGGAGGAAUAAUGCACUGUUGACAUUGGGUGAAUAACCCUGACCUCCUAAGGUUAGCUGUCAAUCAAUACGAUUAAUAAUUAUUGCCCCAGUGGGAAAUUUGUAGUGAAAAUUAAACUCACAGGUAAUCGCCAUGGUUUUUUGUUUACUGUGAACAUCGUACAUGUGGUUAGACGUCUCGGCCAUCACUCAGACGUUUCUCUCUCUCACACACACACACACACACACAGACAGACAGACAGACAGACAGACAGACAGACAGACAGACAGACAGACAGACAGACAGACAGACAGACAGACAGACAGACAGACAGACAGACAGACAGACAGACAGACAGACAGACAGACAGACAGACAGACAGACAGACAGACAGACACCACACACACACUGGUCAAUGGGGUUUGAAGUCUCGGCCAUCGCUCAGAUGUUUCUCACAUUUGAGCUCACAACAGUGUGGCAUACAGUAACUGUAUGAUGUGCGGUGUGAAUAGAACAUUAUGCUUUUGAAUAUAGUAAUGGGUUGAAUGACCUUUAGAUUCUAAAAAAGAGCUUUUAUAGCCAACUUUAUAGCCAACACUGUAAGGAACAAGACAGUGAGUGAUUUUUAUUUUGUGUAUCUGGUUUUGUGAUUGCAAUUUCUGUAUAUAAUGUUUAUUUCUUUGUUUCAAUUAAAAAUCAGACUAGCAAAA